AAGAAGUUAGUUUAAAAAAUACUUGAUUUCGGCUCAGGAGUUCUUAGUGUAAGUCUAAGACUUUCUU
rnacentral:tRNA from 1 species